AACGAACGCUGGCGGCGUGGAUAAGACAUGCAAGUCGAGCGGGACACUUCGGGUAGCAAUAUUCGGAGUGUUCAGCGGCGCAAGGGUGCGUAACACGUGGGUAAUCUGCCGUGAAGCCUGGAAUAACUCGCUGAAAGGCGAGCUAAUACCGGAUGUGAAGUUUGGAAGGCAUCUUUUGGACUUCAAAGCCGGGGUCGCAAGACCUGGCGCUUGAAGAGGAGCCCGCGCCGAUUAGCUAGUUGGUGAGGUAACGGCUCACCAAGGCUCCGAUCGGUAUCCGGCCUGAGAGGGCGGACGGACACACUGGAACUGAGACACGGUCCAGACUCCUACGGGAGGCAGCAGUGGGGAAUUGUUCGCAAUGGGCGCAAGCCUGACGACGCAACGCCGCGUGGAGGAUGAAGACCUGGUCGUAAC
rnacentral:rRNA from 1 species